rnacentral:rRNA from 1 species
UACGUAGGGCGCAAGCGUUGUCCGGAAUUAUUGGGCGUAAAGAGCUCGUAGGCGGCUUGUCACGUCGGGUGUGAAAGCCCGGGGCUUAACCCCGGGUCUGCAUUCGAUACGGGCUAGCUAGAGUGUGGUAGAGGAGAUCGGAAUUCCUGGUGUAGCGGUGAAAUGCGCAGAUAUCAGGAGGAACACCGAUGGCGAAGGCAGGUCUCUGGGCCACUACUGACGCUGAGAAGCGAAAGCAUGGGGAGCGAACAGG